CCCUUAGAUGUUCUGGGCCGCACGCGCGCUACACUGACGAUGGCAACGAGUUUUUCCUUCGCCGAAAGGUGUGGGUAAUCUUUUGAAACAUCGUCGUGCUGGGGAUAGAUCAUUGCAAUUUUUGAUCUUGAACGAGGAAUUCCUAGUAAGCGCGAGUCAUCAGCUCGCGUUGAUUACGUCCCUGCCCUUUGUACACACCGCCCGUCGCUACUACCGAUUGAAUGGUUUAGUGAGGACUCCUGAUUGGCGCCGCCGCCCCGGCAACGGAGCAGCGGACUGCCGAAAAGUUGUUCAAACUAGAUCAUUUAGAGGAAGUAAAAGUCGUAACA
rnacentral:rRNA from 1 species